rnacentral:rRNA from 1 species
GAUGAACGCUGGCGGCGUGCCUAAUACAUGCCAGUCGAGCGAACAGACGAGGAGCUUGCUCCUCUGACGUUAGCGGCGGACGGGUGAGUAACACGUGGAUAACCUACCUAUAAGACUGGGAUAACUUCGGGAAACCGGAGCUAAUACCGGAUAAUAUAUUGAACCGCAUGGUUCAAUAGUGAAAGACGGUUUUGCUGUCACUUAUAGAUGGAUCCGCGCCGCAUGAGAUAGUUGGUAAGGUAACGGCUUACCAAGGCAACGAUGCGUAGCCGACCUGAGAGGGUGAUCGGCCACACUGGAACUGAGACACGGUCCAGACUCCUACGGGAGGCAGCAGUAGGGAAUCUUCCGCAAUGGGCGAAAGCCUGACGGAGCAACGCCGCGUGAGUGAUGAAGGUCUUCGGAUCGUAAAACUCUGUUAUUAGGGAAGAACAAAUGUGUAAGUAACUAUGCACGUCUUGACGGUACCUAAUCAGAAAGCCACGGCUAACUACGUG